UAGUCUAACUAAGCAAAGUGAACUUUAGUUNAACCCCCCGAAACUAGGUGAGCUACUUCGAAAUAGCCCAGGGCUAACCCGUCUCUGUUGCAAAAGAGUGGGAAAAUUUCCAAGUAGAGGUGAUAAACCUACCGCACCAAGAGAUAGCUGGUUACUCAAGAAAAGAAUAUUAGUUCUACCUCAAGUUUUUAAACUUAAGAGCUAUUCAAAUAGGGCACAGCUUAUUUGAAAAAGGAUACAACCUACUAUAUUGGGUAAUCAUAAGUGGGCCUAAAAGCAGCCACCUUCAAAAAGCGUUAAAGCUUAAUAACUUUAUUAUUACAUAACCCAUCAACAAUAUUGAGUAAUUCCAUAAAAUAUGGAAGAUAUAAUGCUAGAACUAGUAAUAAGAAACUUCUCCAAAAUGUAAGCCUAAGCCACCUUAGACACCCUACUGGCAAUUAACGUUUAUGAGUCCACUUUAUUAACAAGAAAACCUUUAAAUACCACCGUUAACCUUACACUAGAACAUUUAUGGAAAGAU
rnacentral:rRNA from 1 species